ACAAGCGGUCCGCACCGUCGGGGGCUGAUCAGGUGCAUCUGAAGAAACCAGCGCCAAGUAUCUUGCAGGUUGAAGCCAGGUGAUUGGGUCCUGAUUCGAGUUCUCCAUAGAAAGAAUUGGAGCUUGCCCCGUUGGGAAGGCCCAUACCAAGUGCUUAUCACCACACCAACUGCCUGUAAGAUAGCAGAGAGACCAUCUUGGAUUCACCAAAGCCACUGCAAGAAAGUGAGUGACAGCCCAGACUCAUAGGCGCCGGCACCCCUACCUUCAGGUGAUCUGACUGGUGAAGGGAGGGCUGAUCGGGUAUAUCCCGCCCUCUGCUUCUUGCCAGUAGUCUACUCACCUGAGGACCUAGGUGUGUUUGGUCGCCAUGAAGACUCCUGUUGUCCUCGUGGCUGUCCUCCUACUCUCAGCAGGACUCCUCAUGUUUCUAGAGGAUGGUACAAAAACGAACAGCACCAUCUACGGACGAGAUGGACGCAUGACAAUUCACACCUCCGUGACAUGACACAAGACCACAUUCACCCAUGGAUGAAUAACGCAUGGUACCGCUACGUACAUGACAGAACUAAGGGAGAGCCUAACAACACUGCAUGUUACGUCUGCUCCCACAUGCCAUGCACUUCAACACAUCCCACUUUUUAUGGAAACUACAUGAAUAAAACACAAGCCAAGUGCGCUGCCAGCUUCGCGGGCAUUGGCUAUCAACACAAGAAAAUCAUCAUUGAUGAGACAAGCUCUAUCAUCUAUUCGCUUAACUUUCUUAGUAUCUUUCAGGGACCACCCCGAUACGAGGUAAUCACCGUCGAAAACGCUGGAUUUGACAACGGAACGUGUGACCAGCUCUUCUGGAUCAACUUCAACGUGACGAAUCGGAACACGUCCAUUCACUUCCCAGUGUUCUUGGACCAAACCCCAGGGAAGAACCACUCCAUGUGCUACCGACAAGACAACGGUAACAGACCCCUA